rnacentral:misc_RNA from 1 species
GAUGAAGAACGUAGCGAAAUGCAAUACUUGGUGUGAAUUGCAGAAUCCCGUGAACCAUCGAGUUUUUGAACGCAAGUUGCGCCCGAAGCCGUUAGGCCGAGGGCACGCCUGCCUGGGUGUCACACAUCGUUGCCCCAAUGCCAAUCGCCUCACUUUGUAGGUAUUUGUUUGGGGUGAAUGUUGGCCUCCCGUGAGCUUUGUCUCACGGUUGGUUGAAAAUCGAGUGCAUGGUGUCGGGUGUACCAUGAUGGAUGGUGGUUGAGUGAUGAUGCUCGGUGACCCACAUGCGUCCCUUGGAUGCUCCCUAAGGAGACCUCAGGUCAGGCGGGGCUACCCACUGAGUUUAAGCAUAUCAAUAAGCGGAGGA